GGGUUGUGAGGUUAAGCGACUAAGCGUACACGGUGGAUGCCCUGGCAGUCAGAGGCGAUGAAGGACGUGCUAAUCUGCGAUAAGCGUCGGUAAGGUGAUAUGAACCGUUAUAACCGGCGAUUUCCGAAUGGGGAAACCCAGUGUGAUUCGUCACACUAUCAUUAACUGAAUCCAUAGGUUAAUGAGGCGAACCGGGGGAACUGAAACAUCUAAGUACCCCGAGGAAAAGAAAUCAACCGAGAUUCCCCCAGUAGCGGCGAGCGAACGGGGAGCAGCCCAGAGCCUGAAUCAGUGUGUGUGUUAGUGGAAGCGUCUGGAAAGGCGUGCGAUACAGGGUGACAGCCCCGUACACAA
rnacentral:rRNA from 1 species